AAAACGACUUUCGGCAAUGGAUAUCUCGGCUCUCGCAUCGAUGAAGAGCGCAGCGAAAUGCGAUACGUGGUGCGAAUUGCAGAAUCCCGCGAACCAUCGAGUCUUUGAACGCAAGUUGCGCCCGAGGCCAACCGGCCAAGGGCACGUCUGCCUGGGCGUCAAGC
rnacentral:rRNA from 1 species